rnacentral:lncRNA from 1 species
GUCACAUACCGUAACUAUACUGUGUCGGGCGUAAAUCAAUCCUUGAACUAUCCGGUUAAAAGCAAAAAUGGCUUUUCGUUAGGUUCAUCUCUCGUUUAUAAUAAAACGAGCAUAUAAAACGGUAGAUUUAAUAAAACUGAGUGGUUGUCCCGAAGUAUUAUUUACUGUAAUAUGUUACUUUUCCGGAAGAAAAGUAAUUGACGUGUAAGAAAUGUCGGGGACACGAAUCGGACACGUGAAGAGUCACGCCACUUGUGCGUCAGUACCAUUUUAAUUUUCCUCCUGGAAACAGCAAGGACAUUGAUUUGAGUUUCUAAUCAAGAAAGUAACAUGAGUGCUGCACAAGUAGCCAGUAAAGAUCCUGUGAGGGAUAUUCCUCAGAUCAUCUUAACUAAUACUGCGGAAGAUGAAGAUAUUCAAAAUGAAAGAGAAAAACCUCACUUCACCAUAGACAAUGACGAAGAUUCUUCAGAAUGUGGAGCCACUUUAUCCACUGCUUAUCUUCUGGAUAGCAAUCAGAUAUCUAACAUCGCAUACAGGACUAAAAUGAAACCAAGAACUUUCAGGUAACAAUUUUUAAUCUCCAGACUAUCACUUCAAUUUUCACAGUAUCAAAUCAGAAACGAAAGAAAUUCAAAAUUCUAUUCUUUAAAAAGUUUUAUUUGAGUAUUUCUUAAUAUUACUUUCCAUUUUUAUCUGAUUAAGGGUCAACAAAGUUAAACUGUCACAUGGCACAUCCAUUUUCAUGGCAUGAGUGAAUCUCUCACGCUUCUUGAACACGAUACUAUACAUAUAUGACUCACAGUAACGUGAGUUUCCUUUUUUUCAUUUUUCUAUAAUCACAUUGGUAAUUCGUCUAUCACUAUUUACUUUCCUCUUUUAAAAUUGUUUAUAUGAGUGGAAGACCUUGUACAUCC